rnacentral:rRNA from 1 species
GAUGAACGCUGGCGGCGUGCCUAAUACAUGCAAGUCGAGCGGACGGACGGGGCGCUUGCUUGUAUUCUGUUAGCGGCGGACGGGUGAGUCACACGUGGAUACCCUACCUAUAGGGCUGAGGUCACGUCAGGGGACCGGAGAUAGUACCGGAUAAUAUGUUGAACCGCGGGGUUCAAAAGUGAACGAGGGUCUUGCUGUGCCUAAUACAGAGAACCACGCUGCAUUAGCUAGUUGGUAAGGUAACGGCCUACCAAGGCAACGAUGCAUAGCUGACCUGAGAGGAUGAUCGGCCACACUGGAACUGAGACACGGUCCAGACUCCUACGGGAGGCAGCAGUAGGGAAUAUUCGACAAUGGGCGAAAGCCUGAUGCAGCAACGCCGCGUGAGUGAUGAAGGUCUUCGGAUCGUAAAACUCUGUUAGUAGGGAAGAACAGAUGUGUAAGUAACUGUGCAUAUCUUGACGGUACCUAAUGAGUAAGCCCCGGCUAACUACGUG